CGUCAAUGGAACAUCUCGCUACUUGAGGGCACAAGAUUGUGACAUUGUUUAAAAGAGUACAAUGAGUCUGUGUAGAUGCUUUGGAUUCUUGCUGUUUGUCCUCCACUGCCUCCCAGGCACCACAGGUCAUUCUGUGGUGGUUAAUAUAUCUCAGCCAAUAGUGGCAAUAGUAGGUGAAGACACCAUCCUUCCCUGCCACCUGGAAUCUGCCGUAGAUCCUGCCUCGACGACUCUAGAGUGGUCCAGACCUGACCAGGGACACAGAUUUGUCCAUGUGAGGCAUGAAGGCGAGGACGCACUGACUGAUCA